rnacentral:lncRNA from 1 species
CUAAGCUUAUGAGUUGUGGUCUGAGUUCAUCAUAUAUGUUACACAUGUUUUGGCGUUUCGGAUACUAGUCUUGUAUGUUCUACCGGUGGCUGGUACUCCAGCAUGUGUUACAGAUACCUAACAGCUUGUGUGAGUAGCAGUGUAGCUACAUCUUGACCGAUAGUUUGUGUGAGCAAACCUAUGAGUAGCUCAAAAGUGAGCAACAUGUGAUAUGUGAUAUGAGGUAGCGUUGGCUACAUAUGAGGCACUUAGGUGCGAGAUUCCGAUGUAUCCAAUGGUAUUCCAAGCGUUC